rnacentral:rRNA from 1 species
GACGUAGGGCGCGAGCGUUGUCCGGAUUUAUUGGGCGUAAAGAGCUCGUAGGCGGUUUGUCGCGUCGACUGUGAAAUCCCGCGGCUCAACUGCGGGUCUGCAGUCGAUACGGGCAGGCUAGAGUUCGGUAGGGGAGACUGGAAUUCCUGGUGUAGCGGUGAAAUGCGCAGAUAUCAGGAGGAACACCGAUGGCGAAGGCAGGUCUCUGGGCCGAUACUGACGCUGAGGAGCGAAAGCGUGGGGAGCGAACCGG